GUCCACGCCGUAAACGAUGUCUACUAGCCGUUGGGUUCCUUGAGGACUUAGUGGCGCAGCUAACGCAAUAAGUAGACCGCCUGGGGAGUACGGUCGCAAGAUUAAAACUCAAAUGAAUUGACGGGGGCCCGCACAAGCGGUGGAGCAUGUGGUUUAAUUCGACGCAACGCGAAGAACCUUACCAGGUCUUGACAUCCAGAGAACUUUCCAGAGAUGGAUUGGUGCCUUCGGGAACUCUGAGACAGGUGCUGCAUGGCUGUCGU
rnacentral:rRNA from 1 species